UACGUAGGUGGCGAGCGUUAUCCGGAAUGAUUGGGCGUAAAGGGUGCGCAGGCGGUCCUGCAAGUCUGGAGUGAAACGUAUGAGCUCAACUCAUGCAUGGCUCUGGAAACUGGAGGACUGGAGAGCAGGAGAGGGCGGUGGAACUCCAUGUGUAGCGGUAAAAUGCGUAGAGAUCGGGAGGAACACCAGUGGCGAAGGCGGCCUACUGGGCUCUAACUGACGCUGAGGCACGAAAGCGUGGGGAGCAAACAGG
rnacentral:rRNA from 1 species